AGACGCUUGGAAGAACUCUGAAACCAGGAGUUGCAAAAACAGAAGCAAAUACAACUAAGUUUCAGACAUGAAGAGGAGCAUCGGCGGCGUGAGGAAGAAAUGAUCUGACACAGAGAACAGAAGGAACUGAGGCCACAGCAAGAGGGCUUUAAGCCAAACUACAUGGAAAAUGUAAG
rnacentral:lncRNA from 1 species